AGAAGUAAUCAUAUAUUCAUAAACCCAAAAAUAUCGAGACUUGAGAGCACAUAUCUCCUGUUUCCGAUAUUCUCUCCGAUUUUCUAGAUUGCUUUUGCCGUUUCCACUUCUCCACUCCAUUGAUUCGUUUCUCAUCUUAAAGCCUAUAUAAACCCCAAAUUGGCAAACUGGAAACCCUAAAUCCCCUAAACGAUUCACGAGAAAUAGCUGCUAAACCUACUCUAUCAGCUUCUUCGACAAAUCAAUCGUCGAUGGGUUCUUCUUCACCUCCUCAACGACAACAAGAUGAAUAUCAGAAUCAGAAUGAUGAUGAAUCGGAGAGAAGUGAAGAUGAUGUGAUCCUUCGACAUUGGGAUUUUGUAGCUUCUGGAUGAAGACUCAUUAAGCUUGUAUGGAAGUGAAGUGAUUCUGGAUUGAUUUUCUUUUUUUUCUCUCUAAACUAUUAGCUCUUAUGCUCUCUCCCUCUUUGGUACUUUGCAUUAUGGUUUUUGGAUGUUGGAAUUGUUUCUAGGUUGUUUUUCUUUUUUACUCUAAACUCCUUAUUCUCUCUUUGUUUGGAUUUGAAUUCUGGUUGUUCUAAUACUC